GGAUGCCUACUAUAGGGGCGAUUGUAUUUAGCGGCCGCGUAAUCGUCCUUCGGUCACGUUAGAGCAGUGAUUCCUUAAUGAAAAGAAGGAUAGAUAAAACGAGUUUAGUUAAGGAGGUACGCAAUUAAGCAGACAGAUUAUUCCACGAACUAACAACGGCCAUGCACUACUAAAACAUAAUCAUGAAAGAACUAUCAUUCUAUACACUAUCUUAAAAAGAUAUUCUGUAACUGUCAAUCCUCAAUAUGUCCUGACCUGGUAAGAUUCUCUGUGUUGGGUCAAAUUAAGCCACAUGCUCCAC
rnacentral:rRNA from 1 species